CCUACGGGAGGCAGCAGUGGGGGAUAUUGCACAAUGGGGGAAACCCUGAUGCAGCGACGCCGCGUGUGGGAAGACGGUCCUCUGGAUUGUAAACCACUGUCCCCAGGGACGAAGUUGACGGUACCUGGGGAGGAACCUCCGCCUACCUACGUGCCAGCAGCCGCGGUAAUACGUAGGGAGCGAGCGUUGUCCGGAAUUACUGGGGGAAAGGGGAGGGUAGGCGGUGAUGCAAGUUGGGUGUCAAAACUACCGGCUCAACUGGUAGUCGCACUCAAAACUGCAGCUCUUGAGUGAAGUAGAGGCAGGCGGAAUUCCUAGUGUAGUGGUGAAAUGCGUAGAUAUUAGGAGGAACACCAGUGGCGAAGGCGGCCUGCUGGGCUUUUACUGACGCUGAGGCUCGAAAGUGUGGGGAGCAAACAGGAUUAGAUACCCGUGUAGUC
rnacentral:rRNA from 1 species